rnacentral:rRNA from 1 species
UAACUGAAGAGUUUGAUCAUGGCUCAGAUUGAACGCUGGCGGCAGGCUUAACACAUGCAAGUCGAGCGGGGGAAGGUAGCUUGCUACUGGACCUAGCGGCGGACGGGUGAGUAAUGCUUAGGAAUCUGCCUAUUAGUGGGGGACAACAUCUCGAAAGGGAUGCUAAUACCGCAUACGUCCUACGGGAGAAAGCAGGGGAUCUUCGGACCUUGCGCUAAUAGAUGAGCCUAAGUCGGAUUAGCUAGUUGGUGGGGUAAAGGCCUACCAAGGCGACGAUCUGUAGCGGGUCUGAGAGGAUGAUCCGCCACACUGGGACUGAGACACGGCCCAGACUCCUACGGGAGGCAGCAGUGGGGAAUAUUGGACAAUGGGGGGAACCCUGAUCCAGCCAUGCCGCGUGUGUGAAGAAGGCCUUAUGGUUGUAAAGCACUUUAAGCGAGGAGGAGGCUACUUUAGUUAAUACCUAG